UUUGUUUUUGUUUGUUUUUGUUUUGUUUUUGUUCAAAUGAACAAGAUAUUUAAACAGAGAGAACUUACGCAUCUAAAUGUAUAGAAAAACUAAGGAUUGACAAUUAGAACAAAAGUUUAGAGGAAACUGGCAUUUGGUGUAAUAUUCUCUUAGCAUGAUUCCACAGGGUAAAAAAGGAAAGGGGAUACCAAAAAACUUAAUGAUAAUUGUUCACCAAAAGUCUGAAAAAGGAUAUCGCCUGGCCAAAAACAUGGUUUCUUGCUCGAACCAGUUCGGUGUUGCUAAUUCCCUUUUUGGGGGGUACCUACAGAUGUUUUUUACUGAACACUUUAUUUCUCUUAAGCGGGUCAUAAAAUCUGAUUCGAUAUGUGAAUGAAAAUGGUUUCUAAAAUGUGGAUAUUGUGGUAAUAACAGAUGUGAGGCAUUUAUUUUAAUAUAUUGUGUUUAACAUUUUAAUAUAUUGUGCUUAACAUUUAAAAAAAA
rnacentral:lncRNA from 1 species